rnacentral:rRNA from 1 species
GGUAUUUUGACUAUACGAAGGUAUUGAAAUAAGGCUUUUAUUGGGUGCUAAGAGAAUGGUUGAACAAGGAUUAACUUUCUUUUAAUUUUUAAUGGAAUUUGAUUUAAAAGUGAAGAGGCUUUUAUUAAUUUUUGGGACAAGAAGACCCUAUGAAUUUUUUUUAUAAAUUUAUUAAUUGUUCAUAAUUAAGAGGAUAAAAUGUUUUUAUAAGUUAAUUGGGGCGAUUUUUAAAUAAUGUUUAACUUUAAAAAGAAGAAGAAUUAGAACCAUAAUGUAUGGUUAAUUGAUUAAAAUACUCUAGGGAUAACAGCGUAAUUAUUUUGGAUAGUUCAUAUAGAUGAAAUAGUUUGCGACCUCGAUGUUGGAUUAAGAUGCUUAUGUAAUGAAGUAGUUACAUUAAGGAGUUUGCUCAACUUUUAAAGUCUU